UCUACUUUCCUAAAAUUCAAAAAAAUACAGAAAAAGGCCAAAUUGGCCUUGCUACUUUAUAUCGUUCAAUGUAUAGAAAAAAGUCAUUAUCUUCCUUUUGUUUGUCAUGAUGAUAUUUUUCUCUACCCUCUCCCAUUUUUGGAGUACACAGAACACAGGAAAACUUUUGAAAAAUUAUUUAUGAUCAUGUGCAAGGAAACUUUUGAGAAGCUCAGCACUCUUUUCCAUAUGCAGAUGGUAAAGAACCUUGGCAAGAUUCAGUUUAGCUCCCGUUCAAAGAAAAAGACUAAUGUUACCAAGUCUUUCAAAAAAAAGAUCAAGGCAAAGUGCCCCUAAGUAAGGCAAUCUAUCCUUGGCUCACACUCCCUAAGCUCGCAGAGCUGUUGGAGUCGGAUGCCAGGAUACCGUGCCUUCAUCCUUCGUGCAAGAAGAACAACAAAUAAAAGCCUCAACUGUUCAACACCAAGGAUGAGUUGUACACCUACUGGUAGGCUAUGCAUAAAGAUGAUGUCCAGAGCGUAGAAUGCACAUGUCAAAAAUGUGAUACCACCAAGUCAAAGCAACAACUGCCCAAUAUCUAAUUAAAGCAAAUAGGUAUCUUAAAAUCCACCAAGUCAAAGCAACAACUGUCCAAUAUCUAACCAAAGCAAACAGACUUAUUCCAGGUGUCCCGCGCUACCAUACAAGCAGAAGGACCGCAUGGUAGCGCGGAUGAAGUUAGAGAAAAUAUGGGCAAAGAACUACAAAGGUAAAUAAGAAGACCUGAUGGUGGAUUUCAAGAUACCUGUUUGCUUUGGUUAGAUAUUGGGUAGUUGUUGCUUUGCUUCUUUUUCUAUACAUUGAACGAUAGAAACUAGUAAGGCCAAUUUGGGCUAUUUGAGUUUCAAGUUGUACCCUAGCUGUUAGAUUCAAAAUUUUUGCAAUAUUUUUUGAAAAUUUGAUGGAUCAUACAUUAAUUUAUACAUGUGAAGUCUAAAAUAUCAUGACAAACAAAAGGAAUGUAAUGGCCUUUUUCUAUACAUUGAACGAUAGAAAGAAGUAUAGCCAAUUUGGGUUAUCCGAGUUUCAUGUUGUACCCUAGCUGUUAGAUUCAAAUUUUUUGCAAUAUUUUUUAGAAAUUUGAUGGAUCAUACAUUACUUUAUACAUGUGAUGUCUAUAAUAUAAUGACAAACAAAAGGAAGGUAAUGGCCCUUUUCUAUACAUUGAAUGAUAGAAAGUAGUAAGGCCAAUUUGGCCUUUUUUGUUUAUUUUCUUGAUUUCUUUAGGAAAAUAGAUUUUAUUUUUGAUGUGUUUGAAUUAAUAUUUACGGUAAUCGUACAAGAUAGGUUGGAAGCUGUAAAAACAAAAAAAUCCAUCAAGGACAAAUUUUAUUGAUCCACAAUUAUUUUAUCCUAUAUUGGGGUAAGUUUAUUUUCUUUUUGUUUGUUAUGUAACCACUUUUAAAUUUAAAAUGCAGAAGUAUAAAAAAAAAAAAUAAGAUAUUUAGUAAAAUAGUCUUUCUCAUCUAGUGAAAAUAUAACUUUGCCCUUAUAAAAAAAAAAAAAACAACAUUUAGAGCCUGUUUGGUUGAGCUUAUAAGCUUCUAUAAAGUGUUUGGCAAAAUAAGUUCCAAAAAUAAGCUCCUCAAAAUUGAAUUUGUUAAAUCCAAACAUAUAUUUAUGAGGCUUAUCUACCUCUAUAAAAUUGGCAAUAUGUGUGGCAACCUGAGUGACAAUAUCUUUGUCUCUGUCUACACUGGCGAAGUUAGGAUUCUGCUUAGUGAUGUGAUUGACUUAGUGGAUGUGAUGACCUUCAUGAUUGCAUUGGCACACAAGAAAGGUGCACAUGAUAUUAACAAACUCUCGGUGGUGCUCCUCGCCGAACUUGUCAAUUUCUUCGAUUUUGUUAGACAAAAUAAUAUGUGAGCAUUAUUUAUUUAUUUUUGUGUUAUGCUUUCUCGUUCAAAAUUACUUUAUUUUAUUUGUUUUGUUCUUGUUCUAUGUUCAUAUGUCCGUCUUGAUUGAUCAUCCAUAUUUCUGAAACAUCGAAGAAAGUGUGAUAUUCGCGUACAGAUGACACAGAGUGGUCAAAAGGGAUCGAUGGAAAUGUGAAAUUGAGGAAAAUGCAUCUACAACGCUCAAAGGAUAUGUUGAUUGGUGAAAAGUUUUACUGGAUGCUAUGAAGAAAUAUAUGCUUGGGUAACCCAGCCCCAAAUGCAAAAGGAACAACUCAAAUAAACAAUCAUACAGACGUCCGAUAGAUAUUAUUCGAUUUUACCAUGCUGCAUAUACUCAUGUAAAUGACAAAGAGUAUGGAGGCCAUAAGUGGUCGUUUGGAGAUGCAAAAAUCGAAGAAGAUCUAACCAAGUUCUUUCCAUAUUAUUACACUGACAUGUUUCUAGCCUUUUGUUAUUGUGUACAUAGCAGGUAUAUGUAUAGUAUCAUGUAGUAAGGAUGACUUUGUUUGUUUUUACGGCUUCGAACCUAUCUUGCACGAUUACCUUAAAUAUAAUUCAAACACAUAAAAAAUAAAAUCUACUUUUCUAAAGAAAUCAAGAAAAUACAAA